rnacentral:rRNA from 1 species
CGCCGCGUGAGCGAAGAAGUAUUUCGGUAUGUAAAGCUCUAUCAGCAGGGAAGAUAAUGACGGUACCUGACUAAGAAGCACCGGCUAAAUACGUGCCAGCAGCCGCGGUAAUACGUAUGGUGCAAGCGUUAUCCGGAUUUACUGGGUGUAAAGGGAGCGCAGGCGGUGCGGCAAGUCUGAUGUGAAAGCCCGGGGCUCAACCCCGGUACUGCAUUGGAAACUGUCGUACUAGAGUGUCGGAGGGGUAAGCGGAAUUCCUAGUGUAGCGGUGAAAUGCGUAGAUAUUAGGAGGAACACCAGUGGCGAAGGCGGCUUACUGGACGAUAACUGACGCUGAGGCUCGAAAGCGUGGGGAGCAAACAGGAUUAGAUACCCUGGUAGUCCACGCUGUAAACGAUGAAUACUAGGUGUUGGGAAGCAUUGCUUCUCGGUGCCGUCGCAAACGCAGUAAGUAUUCCACCUGGGGAGUACGUUCGCAAGAAUGAAACUCAAAUGAAUUGACGG